GUUUUGUUGGUAUCUCUAUUGGAAUAAAACAGGGAAAUACAUAAAUCCCGGACUGUUGGUGGUCCAUGAGGACUGGGUUGGAGAACACUGGUGUAAAUGACGCUGGACAUCCUCACGCUAAUGCGAGCCUGGAUAUUGUGUUAUUAACUCCUUCAGCGCAGCGGGAGGCUAUAGUGCCAGCAAAACAACUUUGUUUUGCUGGCACUAUAGUUUCCCUUUAAGUUUUUUGCAUCUUCUUUUCUCUCAUUACCUUCAGAGUUCAAACUAUCUGUUUGUAGGUGUCUGGUUUCUUUAAUUUUUGUUAAAGCUUGUGUUAUCAUUGUGUGUAUGCACACCAGGAUGAUGUGCCAGCUUUGUGGAUGAGAACAUUGUCUCUGGCGGUAAUUGCAUCAUGGAGACGCCGCCAGUAACUCCUUACCCACCCACAAAAUUUGGCAGACCUUUAC